UAUCAAUGAAACUAUACAAAAAUAUGCUGCAUUUAGUAUAUUUAUAGGUAACCUGAUGUAUCAAACAACCAACAGCUGCAACACAGAACGCAGUUGAACAACUCAAUAUACAGAACAUCUUAAUUAGAACCUUGUCUUCCUUGUGUCCUUGUAUGUUUUAUCAGUCCAUAACUAUUGCCUGGGAAAUGCCUUCAAAUGUUUCAACUGUUGCAAAUUCUCCAUACCUGAUCAGUGAGACAGCUAACACCGAACCGUUUCAGAUACAAGGACCGAAAUUACACACGUGGCACUUGGUCUGUCCUUGCUUUAGCGUUUAUUUCACUGAGAUUUGAUUCUUUUUUUAGGAUUCUGACUGAAAGUUGCUGUCAAAGUAAAUGGUGUGAGCCUUGGAGGUGAGGCCUUCUGGUGUUAUCUGUGUGCUGGAGAUUUGACCAAAGAUACUAAUGUGCUAGAUUUUAUUAACCAAUGUAGUGAAUGGAAUGCAGAUGGGCUAGCACUGCAGAUGGGCUAGCACUGCAGAUAGGCUAGCACAGCAGAUAGGCUAGCACUGCAGUUGGGCUAGCACUGCUGAUGCACAGGUAAAGUAAAGAUGAAAAACAGCGGUACACAUAUGUAAUGGAAAAUGUUUUGAGAAAUUAUGCUGGGGGAUUCAACAAUAUGUUGACUGGAGCGCUGAUGUCUCUGGAUGUCUGUCGUGGUAACAAGCCUUCCCUGACAACCUGAUACAGGCAACGGACCUGAGACCACUUUGAUAGCACGCCUGAUCAAUAAUAGAACUGCAGCCUCUUCCAGAGAUUUUAAGGAUGUGCUAGCUGUUAACCAAAGUUAACUAAACACAUUUCAUUCAAUCCGACACUAGGCCUUUUAUGACUCUGGAAUUGGAUAAGUCAUCACAACAGCACAAAUACUGUAUGACUGACGUAUCAAGCAAAUUUAAACACACAUCAAUCCCACAUUAUCAUAGUUACCAAUAAAGUGAAGAAACAGAUUUCGGAACACCAUUAUUCAUACACAGCCACAUCAAAAGCACAAAAAAACAACAUCACAAUCCUAGUGUAUAUUAGCAACCAUUUACACAUCAAUGUUUCAUCUCAAGAUAAAAAUAACAUAAUGACCAGCAUCAUCUCUUCCACAAUGUUUUACUCCCUGGCUACAUUUUCAGUCAGACAAUUCCCAUUGAUGAUUCAAUCUCACCUGGCUAAAUAUGAGCUCAACCACUCAAGGUACCACAAUAAAAGGAAAGGCCUCGGCUAAGUGCUUGACCCUUUGGAUCACAUUCUCUUCAAAAACAUGAGGAUGCUAUUUAUAACAUGAUGCUGUGUCUAGCAAUAGUGGUGAGGAUGACGAGGGUGAAGUAGAGAAGUCCAAUCUGUUAGGGAGAGGUCCUCGUUAAUCAAAAGGCAAGAGGAACCAUCAAUGGCAGUGGUUUUCCAGCGUGGGACUAUCUGUUAAUGCUGGACUUGAGGUAUACUGGCUGGCUAAUAGCUGUAUCUUGAGAGAGGGGUGUCCUCCAGCAGGUCAUCCUGUGGGC
ensembl:lncRNA